GACGAACGCUGGCGGCGUGCUUAACACAUGCAAGUCGAACGGAAAGGCCCUGCUUUUGUGGGGUGCUCGAGUGGCGAACGGGUGAGUAACACGUGAGUAACCUGCCCUUGACUUUGGGAUAACUUCAGGAAACUGGGGCUAAUACCGGAUAGGAGCUCCUGCUGCAUGGUGGGGGUUGGAAAGUUUCGGCGGUUGGGGAUGGACUCGCGGCUUAUCAGCUUGUUGGUGGGGUAGUGGCUUACCAAGGCUUUGACGGGUAGCCGGCCUGAGAGGGUGACCGGCCACAUUGGGACUGAGAUACGGCCCAGACUCCUACGGGAGGCAGCAGUGGGGAAUAUUGCACAAUGGGCGGAAGCCUGAUGCAGCAACGCCCCGUGCGGGAUGACGGCCUUCGGGUUGUAAACCGCUUUCGCCUGUGACGAAGCGUGAGUGACGGUAAUGGGUAAAGAAGCACCGGCUAACUACGUG
rnacentral:rRNA from 1 species